AUUGAACGCUGGCGGCAGGCCUAACACAUGCAAGUCGAGCGGAGCGGCGGACGGGUGAGUAAUGCCUGGGAAUCUGCCCGGCAGUGGGGGAUAACGUCCGGAAACGGGCCCUAAUAUCGCAUACUAACAGAUGAGCAUAGGGCGGAUUAGCUAGUUGGUGGGGUAAAGGUCUACCAAGAGGACGAUCCGUAACUGGUCUGAGAGGGUGAUCAGUAACAGUGGAAGUGAGACACGGCCCAGACUCCUACGGGAGGGAGCAGUGGGGAAUAUGGGACAAUAGGGAAAAGUGUGAUCCAGACAUGGCGCGUGUGUGAAGAAUGUCUUCGGAGUGUAAAGCACUUUAAGUUGGGAGGCGUUACCAACAGAAUAAGCACCGGCUAACUUCGUGCCAGCAGCCGCGGUAAUA
rnacentral:rRNA from 1 species